CCUCCUUCUUGAGACAUUCUGCAGAGGCUUUCAGAAGUGGUGCCCAUGCAGGACUUUUCCCGGGGUCCUUGUGGGAGCCUCUUCUGAACACCUCAGAAGGUUCUGUACCCACUUCUAGGGAGAGGCCUCUCUCCUGAACUCCAGACCAUGGGAUACAACUGUUUAUUGAAUGUCUAUUUACACCUUGAACUCAAUGUGAGUAAAGUCCCCCCCAGCGCUCCCCAGACUACCUCCUCCUCCCCGGAUUCCAUUUUCCACAGAACAGCACUACCAUCUUCCAACUAUCAAGAACAGGAUGAGAAAACACAGGAAAAGCAAUGUUGGAGAGCUGAGUGCUCCCUCUCCGCAGGCUGCCGGUGCUCGAGCCCAGCCGUGUAGCGCGGGCUCGGUGCGGGAAAGCAAGACUGUUUUGCUGUAACUGUCAGGCUCUGACAGAAGCAGCCAGAAGGAAGCAAAAGGAGAGCGUAAGCAGGAGGGCAGUCCUGGCGCAGAGACCCUGCCUGGAGGCGGCUCACACAUCCCACCUCCCCAGCAUCAUCCACCCAUCAGGGCUCUGCUUUGGAGACAGUGAGGCUGCAGGCCCUUCCUGGGGGGGUGACACUAGAAGCCUGCUUCAAGGCCCCCCGGGACUGGCUGUUUGUUUCUCUGAGGCUGCUCCAGGGCCCCCAUCUGCUGGAGCGAAGAGCCCCUCCUACGCAAAGUGCAGCCACCUGGUGGAUUGCUAGAAAUGCAGAGUCUCAGGCCCGGCCAGUCCUCCCGGCUCAGAACCUGCAGGCGAACAAGACCCCCAGCAAUUGGGACACAGUAAAGUUGAGAAGCCCUGCAGUUGUGAAUCUGGACUCCAAGGACCACCCCCUACCCCUGCUUUCCCAAAGGCAAAGAAGCCUUUCCUCUCCUGGGCAUCACUGGGCUGCCUCCAAGGGGUAGGGAUCCCACUGAGUUCACUCUAUGACAAGCCAGAGAACUGGGUCCCACGCUCUGCGAGAUCCCCCAUGGCCUUGAUCCUGGUCAUAGCACUCAGCCUUUUUAAGCCAACAGUUCAUAUGAAGACAUGGGAAGCAUGUGCAUCAAAUCUGCCGAUGACUCAACGCUGGAGGGGAUGGGAGAAUUAAGGUUCAAAAUGAGCUCGACAGUCGAGAAUGCUGGGUCAAAAGCAACCAGAUGAAAUUUAACAUCAAUAAAUCUAACGUCUUGAAUGCCGUUUCCAAAAAUCAAUUGCACAAGAACAGGAUGAGGGAGACCUGGCCUGACUGCAACUCACAUAAAAAAGAUGAGGAGACAGGACCGGAAGUGUGAGCGCGAUUUGUCCACAGUCACCCGGUGCGUGAACUGCAGACUCACCCCUCCUGGGAGCCUCUCUUCAGGACUCUCUUCCUCCACCCCUCCAUUGAGCUGGGCGGCUGCCAACCCGGCCGGGCGGCUGAAGGCUAACCCUUAAGGAACCAGAGCCCGUGUCAAAGUUUGUGCGGACUUACCCCAUGAGGCGCUCCACCCUGCUCUGCCUAUCCGACGGUCCAAUGCGCAAGAUUUAGUUUCUCUUUAUCCCCGGCAUCCCACUCGAGGUUAGCAAUGACCAUGUCUAAUUGAACCAUGGCGGAAUAUUUACACUGUGGAGAACAGGAGACCCUAUACCAAGUGGCCAUGUCCACGCUUUUUAAAAACUUGUUUUCCAGUGCCACGGCUCAUGGCCACACCUCAGGCCUCUACUUGUUUCCCACCCGCCACAAUUCACCAGGCUUUCCCAUUAAACGAGACAUAAGCUGAGGGUCUGGCACGUGCCAGGCACACAACUGGGUUUUCGCGCAGACCAUCCCAGCUCAACUCCGCGACGGUACAAGGGAUAUUCUGCUUCUCCUCAUCUUACAAUGAGGAAGCUGGCUUCAUAAGGUGACCAGCCAUAUCAUUUUGCCUGGAACUAAAGGGUCUCCCGGGACAUGGAAACUGGCAUGGAAAACCAGUCUCGGACAAAUAGGGACAGGUUGGUCACCGGCGGCUUAAAGAAGUUAACUACCUUGCCCCAGAUCCCACAGCUAGAGGGGGGCUGUGCAAAGAUUCUUUUUUUUUCUACAAAGAUUUUAAUUCAAGUUUCGCUGAUACUAAAUACAUCCUGGUGGAAAUGAAUGCAAAGGAAGAGUUCAUAGGCCCUGGCCAGUUCUCUCCCAUCUGCUUCAGACUCUUGGAAGACUUGCUUUGCUUAUUUCCUUAUUUUCAGUUCUGUGUCAGAAAACCGAGUUCCUGCAUACACGAAACAAGGAGAGGAGUACCUACUUCCUAGGGUUGUUCUGGGCAUCGAGUGUUUACAAAGAACAAGAACACUGCCCGGCGUGGCAGGAGUUCAAGAAAACUGCAUUCCUUCCCUUUUACCUUGAUUCCACUGCCUGGUGAGCUAUGCUGAGUUUUAGGGAUAAGAAAUGAGUGGUGUGGGGCUCCGAUCAUAGUAAGAAACUCAGCUGUCCCGCUGUGAUAGAUUUGGGGGGGGUCACAUUUGAAGAUGGGCACCCAUCAAUGAGCAUGUGUGGUUGUGAUGAAGGGAGGUGACCUGAGCGGUGAGGGGCCCGCAAGGGAAGUCCCCCAAGCAAUGAAUGAAGGAAUCAAGGAAGAAGAGACAGUGGAAGGCAGAGAGGGAGGCUGACUCCCAGCCUUCAAAAGGCUGUCAUGGGGAGUAAGAUACUCAAGCCUCGAGGGCCAUCCAGAACGGGCGGGCAAAGUUACUGGGAGGCAAUGCUGGCUGGCUGUCAGAACUUCGCCACGAGCGGAUCAAUGGAAGGCGCUUUCUCAGAGGGUGAUGGCCUUCCUUCCCAUCGCCCGAGGCCUGCAAGGAGAGCCGGGUGACCAUCUGCCAGGGGAUUCUGCAAAAAGCAUCCCCACAGCGCAUGGGAUGCUGGGUUAGAUGAGCGCUCAGCUGUCUCCCAGCCCUGGGACCCUCCAGCAGACGUUGGCUCUCUUCCCUACAACUGUAAAUAUUUGUGCAUUCCCAAGUUAUAAAGUGGAGCUCUUGGCUUACAAAGGUCAGUACGAAAGGUUUGUUUGGGGAACAGUUUGCUUAGUGUUUCUUUAGCCUGUGUUUCCAAGACUUCUUGUCAUCUGUGUUUGGAGUGGACACAAGCUGCAGGAUUUUUUUUUUCCCUCCCGCCAAGGGGAGAAUUGUUCAAUAGGAAGGGAUGCAAAUGGAGAUCAUUCAAGAAUGCGGAAGCAAACCUGAAAGGCAAGAACACGUCUCGUCUCUGUGGCUGCGGUGGUAUGUCGGGUCAGCAGACAGGCUCCCACCCUGUCCCUCCUGGUGUGGGUUCAGCCUUGGGGUCUUUCGUCCCAGUGCGGAGGGCUUCCUGGUGGGAGCUGGAGGGGUUACCCUACUCAGUGCAGUGAGACAACACUCCUGGGGUUUGGUCCAUCACCUGUUUGAUGGAGAUGGGGAGAUGGAGGAGGGCGGGGAGGGUUAUGGUGUGAGUCCGGCUUUGAUGUUUCUAGCUUGAUGCCACCGAGUUUCAGCUGCUUCCCUAGGAGCUGGGACAGGGUGGGGGUGGGGCGAUGAUAAGAUCAUGCGGUGGUUGAACGUUGGGAGGGAGUCUUAGUUCCGGUGAGGAUCCCAGCAUCCUUUUCAUCAUUGUCUCUUUUCCUCACACUCUGGCUCUCCGGCCGUGUUGUCAUCCUUCUAAAAACACAGAUCCGAGCUGGUCACUUUUCCGUAGUUCUCAACGGAGCCCCACCCUGCUGUCUAUAAACAUGCCCUACUUUCUUACAAGUAUGCCCUUUCCCUUGGCCUGGAAUGUUCUACACUUCUCUGUGCUUUAACUUCCAUCUGCAAAUAGGGGGGAAAAUAUCUGUGUCACAAGGUUGUGCGGAUUCAAUGAGUGAAUAAGGUAGAGCCCUUAGAAUAGCACCUGGUGUUUCGGGAGCCAUGUCUCUGUUCUUAUUUUAUUCUGGUGGCCAACUCCUACUCUUCCUGCAAGACCCUGGGUCACCUGCUCUGUGAAGCCUUCCUUGUCCUACACAGACCAAGUUUUGAUUUUCGUUGGUUUUCGGUUUUUGUUUUUUGCUGUUUACUUUGGGGUUCUGUGACAUUUACAUAUUUACUUCUCAGGAUAUUUUUGUUGUAAUUAUCGGCCCACGUACUGGUCUCUUCCAUGAGACGGGGGGCUCUUCGGAAUAGACAGGGGCAGACUGGAUCCAACUCUAUACUUACUGACUAGUACAGUCUCAGGCACCUGGCAAGGACCUCAAAAAAUUGUUGUUGCCCAAAUGAAUGGAAGAGUGAAGAAAUUAGAAAAACUGUCCGGUGGUCCUGAGACCUGUCGCCGCGGCUGCUUAUUAAGAAAUAUCGUUUCAACCUCGAGAGACCCUCCUCGUCUCUGGACCCCCACGCCAUCUCCCCACACCCAUCUCGUCUCCCUCCGCCCCACACUGUUGGACAGAUAUCUCUUUUUCCCACUUCCCUCAAAUGUUCUGGAUUUGGAAAAUAGCAAUCAUUUAGGAAAAUGGGUAAUUACCAAGGGCUCAAUAACGGAAAACAUGGAAUUCCUGGAGUCCUAGUGAAAUGUCAAGGAUGUGAUUAGAGCAAGCCCAGUCCCUGGUGACCUGAAGAAAAUAUGAUCUGUUUGUCUUAGAGGGGGAAGAAGGAUCGCUAUUUACAAACCAGCCCGCCUAAUCCCUUCUGACAAUAUGGGAAGUCAUUCUACUCGGCCGAAGCAUUAUUUCAGGGCUCCCUUAAGGAAGAACUAUCUUCUACUCAAUUAAAGCAAAGCCUGAACUUGCUCUGACCCCGUCAUUGCUCGGCCAGGAAAGCAGGCUCGGCUCCUUCCAGCGGGGUGGUUGCCCGGGCUUCAGGCCGGCCUCUUUUUCAUCAGGACGUCUCGAGCAUUUACUGGGGAAAAGAUAGGAUACUGGAAGCCCCUGGCAGCUUCGCAAGAGCCGAUGGAAGGAAGGCUUCUGAUUGGCCUGACUUGGGCCCUAUGCCUGUGAUGGAGCCAUGAUCACGAUUAGAAAUCCAUGGCUGGCUUCCCUUGCAUCAAAGAAGUCAAAGCACUCAACUCCAGAGGGUGUGUAUUUUUAAAACAACAACAACAACAACAAAAUCAAAACAAAACCAGAGAGGGAGGGAAAAAAAAUCCAAUGAUCUCCCAGAGUCAAGGAGGCUCAGCUCACGUCCCCGAGCUUCACGGAAAUGCCCAGUGACUGUGGUCAGCCCGAAUUAAACAUAUCUACUCUGUUUUUAAAGCUAAAAAAAAAUUCUAAAUGACCUUUAAUUAGUAGACCCAGUUCUUUCCUUCCCAUCAAAGCCAAGUGUUUCAUGCAGAGCUACAUUUCCUAAAAAGGCCUGCGGCUGGGAGCUAAGUUCCCUCACCUUGCACAUAAUGAUGUCCUGCCAAGAGCAGCCAGCCCUUCCCACUGGCUUCUAGGCUGUGGCGAGGGGGUGCUGGUGUGAGGCCAGAGGGGUAAAAGUGUGCCCAGGACAGGAAACUGCAGCCCCAGUUGCCAGAGGGCUGAAGGUCCCCAAAUCUGCCCAGUCUGCUCUGCCCCUUUCCUAGCGGGCUGAACUGGAGCAAAGGCCCUCAGCUCUCCGGGGUCAGUUUUCCCAUCGAUAAAAUGGGGCUCCCAAUUCCUGGCCAGCCCACCUCCUACUGAAAAGCUGUGGGCAUUUUGAAAAGCACCGGACCCUCUACAACGGGAAGAAAUUGUUGCCAAUCUCUUGAGUGCCCUGACUGCUCCUCCCUUCCCCUUCACUUCUUUUUAUUUAAAGAGUCCUCUCCCUUUUCUCUGUCUUGGUCCAUCUUCUCUGUCCCUUCUUUCUUGGGGUCCCUCUUCCCUUGUCCCGCAGGCACCUUGUUCGUCUGGUUUCCGAGCAAUGGAGAGCCCUAAGGUGCUGCUGGUCCACGGAGGACAGUGGGCUUCCCACAAGGGCUGAACUGAAUUUGUGUAAGCGGCGGCACUCACUUGGGGACUCCGUUUGUGUAUCUUUCCAGGGCAUCUGGCCUCCCACCCCUUGGACGCAAGGGCUGUAAGAAAGCUUUAGUCCUUUUAGAUCUGACUGGUGGCUCAACCCUCCAGGAAAUUUUCUUCGUCAGUCUACCCAAGUUGGCCAGACAACUUAUCCUUUGAUUAGGGGUCACACAUCAUCCCCAGGGCAUCAUGAUUUUCUCUCAAGGCCAUGGCAGCAGAGGGAGAAGGAAGAGGCUUAAAAUAAAACACACAUACACACGCAGAAGACUAGCAGGAACACCGAUGGGCUCACACAGACUUCAGGAUUAAUUUAUAGAUGCUUCUUAAGCUGAAGUGACUCAUUGGGGCAGCUGGGGACAGGCCAGACCCACCAGCUCCCAGGGCCCCCAGUCAGCUGAGCCUUUCAUUCCUCAGCUCUGGCUUACACAGAGGGAAAAAAAAAAAAGCACUAACAUUGGCCAUAGGACCCAGUGGCCAAGCCCUAGGUCUGUGCACUUGAAGCUUCUGGAAUGUCAGGGUCCUAAUGAUUUUUUUUUUAACUCCCUUCGUUGUUUUAUUUUGUUUUGUUUUUCUCAUUGAGGCAAAAUUUACAUACAGUGAAAUUUACCUAUCUCUAAUGAGCGGUUCUGUAAUUUUUGAUAAACAUAUUACUAUGUCAUCCAAGAUAGGGAACAUUUCCAUUGCCCCAGAAAGUUCUGUUGUGUCCCUUCCAGUUACACCCACCCCAGAGGUACCACUCUUCUCAUUUCUAUCACCAGCCUAAACGUUGCCUGUUCUAGAAUCAUACCGUAUUCGCUAUUUUGUGUAUUGUUUCUUUCACUCACUAUGUCUGUGGAGUUCCUCUCUCUUGUGUGCAUCGGUCAUGGAUUCCGAUUUCGGCAGAGUCCAGUGCCAGCCUGUGAACAUAGCAUCAUGUGUUUACCCAGUGCCUCUGCAUGUAGACAUUUCUGGUACCAGAUUUGGCUACUGUGGAUAAAGCUAUAAUGAGCAUUCAUGUACAGGCCAUUCCUUUUCUUGUUUUUUAAGAUUUUAUUUUUUUA